CUGUCCUACGGGGGGCAGCAGUGGGGAUAUUGCACAAUGGAGGAAACUCUGAUGCAGCGACGCCGCGUGAGGGAAGACGGUCUUCGGAUUGUAAACCUCUGUCUUUGGGGAAGAAAAUGACGGUACCCAAAGAGGAAGCUCCGGCUAACUACGUGCCAGCAGCCGCGGUAAUACGUAGGGAGCGAGCGUUGUCCGGAAUUACUGGGUGUAAAGGGAGCGUAGGCGGGCGAGAAAGUUGAAUGUUAAAUCUACCGGCUUAACUGGUAGCUGCGUUCAAAGCUUCUUGUCUUGAGUGAAGUAGAGGG
rnacentral:rRNA from 1 species